GCAAGUCGAGCGGCAGCGGGAAAGUAGCUUGCUACUUUUGCCGGCGAGCGGCGGACGGGUGAGUAAUGCCUGGGGAUCUGCCCAGUCGAGGGGGAUAACAGUUGGAAACGACUGCUAAUACCGCAUACGCCCUACGGGGGAAAGGAGGGGACCUUAGGGCCUUUCGCGAUUGGAUGAACCCAGGUGGGAUUAGCUAGUUGGUGGGGUAAUGGCUCACCAAGGCGACGAUCCCUAGCUGGUCUGAGAGGAUGACCAGCCACACUGGAACUGAGACACGGUCCAGACUCCUACGGGAGGCAGCAGUGGGGAAUAUUGCACAAUGGGGGAAACCCUGAUGCAGCCAUGCCGCGUGUGUGAAGAAGGCCUUCGGGUUGUAAAGCACUUUCAGCGAGGAGGAAAGGUUGGCGCCUAAUACGUGUCAACUGUGACGUUACUCGCAGAAGAAGCACCGGCUAACUCCGUGCCAGCAGCCGCGGUAAUACGGAGGGUGCAAGCGUUAAUCGGAAUUACUGGGCGUAAAGCGCACGCAGGCGGUUGGAUAAGUUAGAUGUGAAAGCCCCGGGCUCAACCUG
rnacentral:rRNA from 1 species